UGACCUGAAAAUAAUGAGAGGAAAAGAUUGAUUAAUGAUUAUAUUAAAAUCUUAGUUUCAGGAUCAAUAAAAUAAAUUGAAAGAGAGAUUCAAAUCUCUUCAUCCAAGUAUUAACAAAGACUUGUUAAAAAGAAUAUAGGACUACAAUUCCUUUACUAAAAUAAAACUGAGCUUCUUAAACGAAGAAAUGAGGCAAUAAAGGAGCAACUCCAGCGGAAACGCGAUUCUGUUUAGAAAACAUUGGAAACAAUCUUUGUUGGAAUGAGGGAGGCUAUAAAUUAAAAAAAGUUUGAGAAGGAUUUAAAUAAGGGCAGAAUUAAUGACUAAUCUAAACAAUAGUUCUAAUCUAUUACAAAAAAAAAAUAAAAAAAAUGACUGUCUAUUUUUUAUAAAAAAAAAUCAAUUCGUCUAUUCUAAAAAACAAGGUUAGUCGGUUAAAUUUUGUGUCUUCUAAAAAAAUGUUACUGUAAAAAGUUUUUGCCAGAUUUGGCAUUAAUAAAAAUAAAAAAAACCUCUGUCAAAAAACAAUUCUAGGAGCGCCUUUGAAUCGGAAAGUGGAGGAAUGGACAAAAUGACAUUUUAAAUAUUGUAAAUGACGACACAGCAUUCAAAAACAAUGUUUUCAAAUAUCUUUACACAGAGUCGAGAUGUCAAACAAAGUAUGCAAUCAAAUCUCAGGCAUGCUGCGCGCCCAUCCCAAAAUGUGCCAAAUUUGUACGGAAUUAAACGUAUUCCAGCCAAAUGUACAUUCAUCGAAUAAAACAUGUCUUAUGAGAGAAGAGGAUCUUACUUCUUAUUUGAAUUCUUUUUAUUGGGCGAAGCACUUUUAGCAAUAUCCUAUCCUGACCUCAACCCCCCUCAUUACAACAUAUGGGCGCAUAUUGAGGCCAUGGUCUGUACUAAACGUGUAUCAAAUUGAAGUGUAUUAUGUCAGGCUAUGUUAUACCAGUCGUCACUUCAAGCCCGGUUGAAGCGGUGUUAUUGAGGCCAAAGCGAUUUCAUAAAUCACAUUGUAGUAUAAAAUAUGAGCUUUAUAUUAUUUGUACGAUAUGUAAAAAUAUCAAGUGUCUAGUAAUGAAUGCUUAAGAGAUAAUUACAAAGUAUGGCAUAAUUAAAUUUACACCCAGUAUAUAUAUACAUCAAUAACAUCUUAGUAUUUAACAUUUGCAUAUAUAUAUGUAUCCCUAAAAUAUGGAAACAAAACUUGAUAAUACUAAUUACCAGACAACUUUUUACGCUCAUCAUUUGGAGUCCUACAUUUACGUGUGUACAUGAAUGUGUAUAUAGAUUACAA
rnacentral:lncRNA from 1 species